GGCCUAACACAUGCAAGUCGAGCAGCAGCACAAGUGAGUUUACUCAUGAGGUGGCGAGCGGCGGACGGGUGAGUAAUGCCUAGGGAUCUGCCCAGUCGAGGGGGAUAACAGUUGGAAACGACUGCUAAUACCGCAUACGCCCUACGGGGGAAAGAGGGGGACUUUCGGGCCUCUCGCGAUUGGAUGAACCUAGGUGGGAUUAGCUAGUUGGUGAGGUAAUGGCUCACCAAGGCGACGAUCCCUAGCUGUUCUGAGAGGAUGAUCAGCCACACUGGGACUGAGACACGGCCCAGACUCCUACGGGAGGCAGCAGUGGGGAAUAUUGCACAAUGGGGGAAACCCUGAUGCAGCCAUGCCGCGUGUGUGAAGAAGGCCUUCGGGUUGUAAAGCUC
rnacentral:rRNA from 1 species